rnacentral:rRNA from 1 species
GACGAACGCUGGCGGCGUGCUUAACACAUGCAAGUCGAACGGAAAGGCCCUGCUCUUGUGGGGUGCUCGAGUGGCGAACGGGUGUGUAACACGCGAGUAACCCGCCCUUGACUUUGGGAUAACUCCAGGAAACUGGGGCUAAAAUCGGAUAUGAGCUCCUGCUGCAUGGUGGGGGUUGGAAAAUUUCGGCGGUUGGGGCUGGACUCGCGGGUUACCAGCUUCUUGGUGGGGUAGUGGCUUACCAAGGCUUUGACGGGUAGCCGGCCUGGGAGGGUGACCGGCCACAUUGGUACUGAGGUACGGCCCAGACUCCUACGGGCGGCAGCAGUGGGGAAUAUUGCACAGUGGGCGGGAGCCUGAUGCGGCGGCGCCGCGUGCGGGAUAACCGCCUUCGGGUUAUAAACCGCUUUCGCCUGUGACGAAGCGUGAGUGACGGUAAUGGAUAAGGAAGCAACGGCUAACUACGUG